rnacentral:rRNA from 1 species
UACGUAGGUGACAAGCGUUGUUCGGAAUUACUGGGCGUAAAGGGCUCGUAGGCGGCCAACUAAGUCAGACGUGAAAUCCCCCGGCUUAACCGGGGAACUGCGUCUGAUACUGGAUGGCUCGAGUUUGGGAGAGGGAUGCGGAAUUCCAGGUGUAGCGGUGAAAUGCGUAGAUAUCUGGAGGAACACCGGUGGCGAAGGCGGCAUCCUGGACCAACACUGACGCUGAGGAGCGAAAGCCAGGGGAGCAAACGGG